rnacentral:rRNA from 1 species
UACGCGUGGGAAUCUGCCCUGGAGAGGGGGAUAACCGAGGGAAACCUCGGCUAAUACCGCAUACGUCCUGAGGGAGAAAGAUUUAUCGCUCUAGGAGGGGCCCGCGUCGGAUUAGCUUGUUGGUGGGGUAACGGCCUACCAAGGCGAUGAUCCGUAGCUGGUCUGAGAGGAUGAUCAGCCACACUGGGACUGAGACACGGCCCAGACUCCUACGGGAGGCAGCAGUGGGGAAUAUUGGACAAUGGGCGCAAGCCUGAUCCAGCAAUGCCGCGUGAGUGAUGAAGGCCUUAGGGUUGU